rnacentral:rRNA from 1 species
CUUGAGUCGCAUGACACAAGAAAAGAAAAGGGUGGCCUCUACUUGUAAGCUAUCGCCUGGAGAGGGGGUUUGCGUCCGAUUAGGUAGUUGGUGAGGUAACGGCCCACCCAAGCCGACGAUCGGUAGCCCGGUCCUGAGAGGAUGAACGGCCACAUUGGAACUGAGACACGGUCCAGACUCCUACGGGAGGCAGCAGUGGGGAAUCUUCCGCAAUGGGCGAAAGCCUGACGGAGCAACGCCGCGUGAGUGAAGACGGCCUUCGGGUUGUAAAACUCUGUGAUUCGGGACGAAAGAUAAGUAGACGAAUAAUCUGCAUAAGUGACGGUACCGAAAAAGCAAGCCACGGCUAACUACGUGCCAGCAGCCGCGGUAAU